GACGAACGCUGGCGGCGUGCUUAACACAUGCAAGUCGAACGGAAAGGCCCUGCUUUUGUGGGGUGCUCGAGUGGCGAACGGGUGAGUAACACGUGAGUAACCUGCCCUUGGCUUUGGGAUAACUUCAGGAAACUGGGGCUAAUACCGGAUAGGAGCUCCUGCUGCAUGGCGGGGGUUGGAAAGUUUCGGCGGUUGGGGAUGGACUCGCGGCUUAUCAGCUUGUUGGUGGGGUAGUGGCUUACCAAGGCUUUGACGGGUAGCCGGCCUGAGAGGGUGACCGGCCACAUUGGGACUGAGAUACGGCCCAGACUCCUACGGGAGGCAGCAGUGGGGAAUAUUGCACAAUGGGCGGAAGCCUGAUGCAGCAACGCCGCGUGCGGGAUGACGGCCUUCGGGUUGUAAACCGCUUUCGCCUGUGACGAAGCGUGAGUGACGGUAAUGGGUAAAGAAGCACCGGCUAACUACGUG
rnacentral:rRNA from 1 species